AUGUCGACCUCCACCGCCGUAGUGUCCUCCGGCCUCAACAACAAUGUUUCAGAACCUCUCACCAGAUCGAACUAUGUUCUCUGACGUGCUCAAGCCCGCUCCCAGAUCAUGGGGGCCGGUCUCUUUGGAUACCUUGACAAAACCACCGCCGAACCAGAAAAAACCCUAGUCAGCAAAACCUCCGAGGGCAAAGAUCAGGUCAUUCCUAACCCUGCUUAUGCUUCUUGGUUGAUCCAGGAUCAACAAAUCAUCGCCUACCUACUCCGCAAUCUCUCCAAGGAGGUGCUAGUUCAGGUUGCUUCCCUAGAUACAUCUCAUGCAAUCUGGACAGCCCUUGCCAAUAUGUUUUCCGCCCAAUCCCGCUCCAAAGCAAACCACGUUCGCAUCUCCCUCACCACCGCCCAGAAAGGAACCCAAUCUGCCGCCACAUACUUUGGUCACAUGCGAGGUCUUGUCGAUGAGUUAGCUGCAGCCGGCAAACCUAUCACAGAAAAUUAA
rnacentral:rRNA from 1 species